AUCAACUUUCGAUGGUAGGAUAGAGGCCUACCAUGGUGGUAACGGGUAACGGGGUGCUAGGGCACGACACCGGAGAGGGAGCCUGAGAAACGGCUACCACAUCCAAGGAUGGCAGCAGGCGCGCAAAUUACCCAAUCCCAACAUGGGGAGGUAGUGACAAUAAAUAACAAUACAGGGUUCUUUUGAAUCUUGUAAUUGGAAUGAGUACAAUUUAAAUCUCUUAACGAGGAACAAUUGGAGGGCAAGUCUGGUGCCAGCAGCCGCGGUAAUUCCAGCUCCAAUAGCGUAUAUUAAAGUUGUUGCAGUUAAAAAGCUCGUAGUUGAAUUUCGAGAUCAAUUUUCUUGGUCAUACCUUUGUAUGUACUGGUCUUAUUGAUUUCCCUCUUCUGAUGAACCAUGAUGUCAUUAAUUUGGUGUUAUGGGGAAUCAGGACUAUUACUUUGAAAAAAUUAGAGUGUUUAAAGCAGGCUCACGCUUGAAUACAUUAGCAUGGAAUAAUGAAAUAGGACGUUUGAUUCUAUUUUGUUGGUUUCUAGGAUUGACGUAAUGAUUAAUAGGGAUAGUUGGGGGCAUUAGUAUUCAAUUGUCAGAGGUGAAAUUCUUGGAUUUAUUGAAGACUAACUACUGCGAAAGCAUUUGCCAAAGAUGUUUUCAUUAAUCAAGAACGAAAGUUAGGGGAUCGAAGACGAUCAGAUACCGUCGUAGUCUUAACCAUAAACUAUGCCGACUAGGAAUCGGAUGAUGUUAAUUUUUCAAUGACUCAUUCGGCGCCUUACGGGAAACCAAAGUGUUUGGGUUC
rnacentral:sRNA from 1 species